rfam:Cuculus canorus isolate BGI_N303 unplaced genomic scaffold scaffold311, whole genome shotgun sequence.
AAAAAGGAUUUUAUAAAAUCCAUCUUUUUGAAACAUUUGCUUCAUU